UACAGAGGUGGCAAGCGUUGUUCGGAAUUACUGGGCGUAAAGGGCGCGUAGGCGGUCUUGUAAGUUCCGUGUGAAAUCCCUCGGCUCAACUGAGGAACCGCACGGAAAACUGCUUGGCUUGAGUUCGGGAGAGGGAAGCGGAAUUCCGGGUGUAGCGGUGAAAUGCGUAGAUAUCCGGAGGAACACCGGGUGGCGAAGGCGGCUUCCUGGACCGGUAUUGACGCUG
rnacentral:rRNA from 1 species